rnacentral:snoRNA from 1 species
AGGCCGUGAUGGGGACACUUGCGUAAUAGCUCCUUGAACCUUUCCCAAGUUUCAUAUAAGGAUUCCCCGUCCUCUUGUGAGUAUGUAUUAAUUUCAGCCACUAGUUU